rnacentral:rRNA from 1 species
GACGAACGCUGGCGGCGUGCUUAACACAUGCAAGUCGAACGCAGUGGCGAACGGGUGAGUAACACGUGAGUAACCUGCCCCCUUCUUUGGGAUAACGCCCGGAAACGGGUGCUAAUACUGGAUAGUGGGGGAUGGGCUCGCGGCCUAUCAGCUUGUUGGUGGGGUGAUGGCCUACCAAGGCUUUGACGGGUAGCCGGCCUGAGAGGGUGACCGGUCACAUUGGGACUGAGAUACGGCCCAGACUCCUACGGGAGGCAGCAGUGGGGAAUAUUGCACAAUGGGCGAAAGCCUGAUGCAGCGACGCCGCGUGAGGGAUGACGGCCUUCGGGUUGUAAACCUCUUUCGCUCAUGGUCGGGUAGUGGGUAAAGAAGCGCCGGCUAACUACGUGCCAGCAGCCGCGGUAAUAC